rnacentral:rRNA from 1 species
GCUUGUMUCAAAGAKUAAGCCAUGCAUGUCUCAGUACAAGCCGAAUUAAGGUGAAACCGCGAAAGGCUCAUUAAAUCAGUUAUGGUUCCUUAGAUCGUACCCACAAUUACUCGGAUAACUGUGGUAAUUCUAGAGCUAAUACGUGCAAACAGAGCUCCGACCGGAGACGGAAGGAGUGCUUUUAUUAGAUCAAAACCAAUCGGUGGCGGUUUCGUCAUCGUACAACUUGGUGACUCUGAAUAACUUUACGCUGAUCGCACGGUCACCGCACCGGCGACGCAUCUUUCAAAUGUCUGCCUUAUCAACUGUCGAUGGUAGGUUCUGCGCCUACCAUGGUCGUAACGGGUAACGGGGAAUCAGGGUUCGAUUCCGGAGAGGGAGCCUGAGAAACGGCUACCACAUCCAAGGAAGGCAGCAGGCGCGCAAAUUACCCACUCCCGGCACGGGGAGGUAGUGACGAAAAAUAACGAUACGGGACUCAUCCGAGGCCCCGUAAUCGGAAUGAGUACACUCUAAACCCUUUAACGAGGAUCAAUUGGAGGGCAAGUCUGGUGCCAGCAGCCGCGG